ACUGUCAAAAAUAUGCACUGUCAAACAAACGUGGAAUGCGAGAAUCAAAAGAAAAUAUCACCAACACCAAUAAUAAAACAAAACCAAUCCCAAAAUAGAACGUCAGACAGAAAUCACACUCGUGUUUAUAUAUAACAUUAUUCUGUGAAGGUUAAGCACCUGUUUACUACCAUUGUAAUUAAAGUGACGUAUAUUUGUUUAUACUGAAACACGCAAUGCAAACUUCAACAAAAUAUAAACUGUAUGUAACCUCAGCUGCUUUAGCUGUAGGAUGUACUGUCUCGUACAUGAUUUACAAAAGAAGGAAGCGUCGUCGAGAUGCGGCAGAGUUAUUUGAUUAUUUAACUAUCAAUACUGUAACUACGGAACAAACUUGCGACCAAGUUGUGGCUGAGUUGAAAAGACGAUGUCAAAAGCACAGAGCUUUAGGGUUUGACUGUGAAUGGGUGACGGAGAAAGGAAAGAGGCAGCCAGUUGCCCUCGUCCAGCUGUCUUCUUAUGAUGGAUACUGUGGCCUAUUCAGACUGAAUGCUAUGGAAACACUGCCCGAAUCUUUAAAAGACCUUUUAGAAGACGAGACCAUCUACAAAGUGGGCGUAGCGCCCGCCGACGACGGAAAGUACCUGUGCUUCGAUUACUCUGUCAUGAUGAAGUCGACCUUAGAUGUGAGGCAUUUAGCUGAACUGGGCGGCUUUGAGGCAGGUGGGUUAGCCACAUUGUCCUCGGCGCUGUUAGGAGCAGUGUUGGAUAAAAGCUGGAGGAUUCGCUGCAGCGACUGGGAAGCCAAAGAACUAACAAAAAGUCAAGUGAAAUACGCAGCCAUUGACGCGCACGUAGCUAUCAGAAUCUUCGCAAUGUUACUGGAACAGCUAGGGAGCAAACGAACAGUGCUGUCCUGGUUGUUUGGAACCAACGGGACCAGUGUGUGGUCACAUCUAGACGACUAUUGCUCUAUGUACGCAGAUGUCCAUUAUAAAAUGAAGCCUGUUAAAUUGAAAGAUGGGUCAAAAGAAAAACACAGUAAAACAAGAGAACCCGCGGUAUUAAGCAAGCGAUACACCCACUCUACGCGCACCAAGCCUUUGUACAACAACUGUUAUUUAGAGGCACCUGAUGGCGAACUGCUGUGCACCUGUGACCAGAAGAAAGCUUAUUGGUUCGUAAAUAAAGAGUUAGCAGAUGUAAUGAAAGAGGAUCCAUUAACCGUGCGCCUAAGAUUCGAGCCCGCCGGCCGAUCUAUGGGCGAUGUAGGACGGUACUACCAACUGAAGAAGGAGAAUAAAUGUGUCGUCUGUGGCAGCACUAACUCUUAUAUCCGCAAGAAUGUUGUGCCUAGGGAGUAUAGGAAAUUGUUUCCAGAGAUCAUGAAAGAGCACUCAUCCCACGACGUAGUGCUGCUAUGUACGUCGUGCCACCAGCAGAGCAACAUGCGAGACUUGGCCAUGCGCGGCCGCCUCGCCGACUUGUGUGAUGCACCACUCGCUACUGGCGUCAGGAACGGUAGCAGCAAGUUCUUAGAGGAUGCUGUUAGCAAAAAAAUCAAGUCGGCAGCGAGAGCGCUCCGUCACCAAUGUGACAAGCUGCCGGAAGCCAGACGCAAGGAACUGGAAGAUAUCUUGCUGCAGCACUAUCCUGAACAUGACGAGAUCACUGAAGAGCUUCUAGAGGAAGCUUCCAAUAUUACUGUUUUGUAUGAAAAUUCAGAAUACGAAUCUCACGGCGCUAAAGUCGUGGACUACUUUCUGAAUCACGAAGGUUUGCUCCGUCUCGAAGAGAUGUGGAGAGAACAUUUCCUGAGUUCAAUGAAGCCUCGGUUUAUGCCCGAAUUGUGGUCCGUUAAACAUAAUGAAGAGAGAUUGCGCGUGAAAUGGAAUGAAGGACGUCUGUCUCAAGAGCACUUGAAAUCUAUCGGGUUGACUACAUUGUAAAUAUUUUGUCUUCGAAUUAUGUUUAACAUAAUUACAAAUAUUUGCCCAAUAAUUGGGCGUAUAUUUUAUGUUUGGAAUAUUGUAUGUUUAUGAUUCGUUUUCAAUAAAUCUGUGUUGGUGAAUCAAUCUAAUUAUAAUGUUAUUUCUUCAAGGCUUAAGACAUUAAAAUGUAAGACAUUUAAAUUGAGUUAAUAUUACUUUGUACAUGCAUGUUGAAGAAAUUAUAUUUUUAAUAAAGUCCUAUUUAAAUUGGGACAAAUUCUCCCAAAGCAAAUCACCUUACUAUAACAUCGAUAUAGGUAUAAUAACUAUUAUAAAGACAUAUUUACAAAGUGAAGAUAUUCUUGUAAAAAUAAGGAAAUAAAAUCAUACGAGUUA
rnacentral:misc_RNA from 1 species